AGAGGUGUAGCUCAGUAGUAGAGUACUUGCUUGGCAUGUGCAAAGUCCUGGGUUUGAUUCCCAGCACUGUAA
rnacentral:tRNA from 1 species